AUGCGAGAGCCGUGCUUAGUA
rnacentral:miRNA from 1 species